UAUGGCAGAACUAUUAUGCAAUGAACUUAAAAUUCAUUUAUAAAGAUUAAUCUUUUUUUAGAAAUU
rnacentral:tRNA from 1 species